UACGUAGGGGGCAAGCGUUUGUCCGGAUUUAUUGGGCGUAAAGCGCUCGCAGGUGGUUCGUUGCGUCGUGCGUGAAAGACCCCGGCUCAACUGGGGAGUGUCGUGCGAUACGGGCGAACUGGAGGCCAGUAGGGGGAUGCGGAAUUCCGGGUGUAGUGGUGGAAUGCGUAGAGAUCCGGAGGAACACCAGCGGCGAAGGCGGCAUCCUGGACUGGUCCUGACACUCAGGAGCGAAAGCGUGGGGAGCGAUCCGG
rnacentral:rRNA from 1 species